UGGGGAAUAUUGGACAAUGGGGGCAACCCUGAUCCAGCAAUGCCGCGUGAGUGAUGAAGGCCUUAGGGUUGUAAAGCUCUUUCGCCCGCGACGAUGAUGACGGUAGCGGGAGAAGAAGCCCCGGCUAACUUCGUGCCAGCAGCCGCGGUAAUACGAAGGGGGCGAGCGUUGUUCGGAUUUACUGGGCGUAAAGGGCGCGUAGGCGGCCCUCUUUGUCGCGUGUGAAAGCCCCGGGCUCAACCUGGGAAUUGCGCGCGAAACGGGGGGGCUUGAGUUCGGGAGAGGAGCGUGGAAUUCCCAGUGUAGAGGUGAAAUUCGUAGAUAUUGGGAAGAACACCGGUGGCGAAGGCGGCGCUCUGGACCGAGACUGACGCUGAGGCGCGAAAGCGUGGGGAGCAAAC
rnacentral:rRNA from 1 species